rnacentral:rRNA from 1 species
CCUACGGGAGGCUGCAGUGAGGAAUAUUGGUCAAUGGGCGGAAGCCUGAACCAGCCAAGUAGCGUGCAGGAUGACGGCCCUACGGGUUGUAAACUGCGUUUAUACGGGAAUAACGCGCCUUACGUGUAGGGCUUUGCAUGUAUCGUAUGAAUAAGGGCCGGCUAAUUCCGUGCCAUCAGCCGCGGUAAUGCGGAAGGUCCGGGGGUUAUCCGGAUUUAUUGGGUUUAAAGGGAGCGUAGGCCGCACGUCAAGCGUGCUGUGAAAUGGCCGGGCCCAACCCGGGCCUUGCAGCGCGAACUGGCGUGCUUGAGUCCGCGGAAAGCAGGCGGAAUUCGUCGUGUAGCGGUGAAAUGCUUAGAUAUGACGAAGAACCCCGAUUGCGAAGGCAGCUUGCUGCAGCGGAACUGACGCUGAUGCUCGAAAGCGCGGGUAUCGAACAGGAUUAGAUACCCGAGUAGUC